GACCUCGGAUCAGGUAGGGAUACCCGCUGAACUUAAGCAUAUCAUAAACGGGAGAA
rnacentral:rRNA from 1 species